rnacentral:rRNA from 1 species
UUAAUAAAUUUAUUUUAAGUAAUUAUUAAAUGUGUAUAUAUUAAAUUUAAUAAAAAUAUUUUUUUUUUUUUAUUUUUUUAGAUAAAAUUAUUUUUAUAAUAGUGUAUAGUAUAGUGAUAGAAUAUUGAAAUAGUUUUUGAAAAUAAAGAAUUUUUAAAAGAAAAUUUAAAUUGUUGUACCUUGUGUAUCAGGGUUUAUUAAAUAAAAAUUAUAAAUUUUAAUAUUCUCGAAUUUAAAAGAGUUAAAAAAUUAUAAAUUUUAUUGUGAAAUAAAUAUUUAAAAUAAUUUUUUAGUAAUGAAACGUUAGUCGUUUUUAAAUUUAUCUAGUUUUUUAAGAAAUAAAUUUAAUUUAGUUAUUUAUUAUUUUAUUUAAUAUUAUUAAAAAUUUAAUUAAAAUAAGUAAUUAAUAUUUUAAGGGAUAAGCUUUAAAAUAAAAUUUUAUAAAUAAGAAGAUUAUAUUUAAAAUUUAUAGGAGUGGAAGUAUUUAAUAUUAUUUUUGUGUGUUAUAACAAAUUUAAAAUUUUUUAUAAUUUAUUUUUUAUUUUAAAUUUUUUAUUAAAAUUAUUAAUUUAAUAUUAAAAUUAAUGUAAUAAUGAUAAAAUUAGUAUAAUUUAAUGUUUUUUAAUUUAUAAAUUAAAGGUUAAGUUAAGGAAUUCGGCAAUAAUUUUUUUCGCCUGUUUAUUAAAAACAUGUCUUUUUGAUAAUAAUAUAAAGUCUGACCUGCCCUAUGAUAGAAUUAUAUUAAAUGGCCGCGAUAUUUUGAUCGUGCAAAGGUAGCAUAAUAAUUAGUUUUUUAAUUGAGAACUAGUAUGAAAGGUUGAACGAGAAAAAAACUGUCUCAAUUUAAUUUUUAUUAGAAUUUUAUUUUUAAGUAAAAAAGCUUAAAUAAUUUUAAAAGACGAGAAGACCCUAUAGAGUUUUAUAUUUAAUAUAAAAUUUUUUAGUUUUAGAAUUUAAUUUUAAAAAUUUAUAUUACAUAUUUGGUUGGGGUGAUUGAAAAAUUAAAUAAACUUUUUUUAAUAAUUUAUACAUUAAUAAAUGAGUUGAUGAUCCAUUAUUUAUGAUUAAAAGAUUAAAUUACCUUAGGGAUAACAGCGUAAUUUUUUUUGAGAGUUCUUAUCGAAAAAAAAGUUUGCGACCUCGAUGUUGGAUUAAAUUAAAUUUUUGGUGUAGAAGCUAAAAUAUUAGGUCUGUUCGACCUUUAAAAUUUUACAUGAUCUGAGUUUAAACCGGUGUGAGCCAGGUUGGUUUCUAUCUUUAAAUAAUAUAAAUAUUUUAGUACGAAAGGAUUAAAUAUUUGUAAUAAUUAUUAUUAAUAGAAUUUUAUUAAAAUAAAAUUACUUUGGCAGAAUAGUGUUUUAAAUUUAGAAUUU